UGAUCUAGUGACGGAUUGUGUAAUAUUUUAUUUAAGGAAAAAAAUCCGGUGACUAUAAAUAAUGUGGAACGGAAAAAUUGCGUUACGACGCUAUCAGUGCGUCUGACGUCACCCAAAUUUGAACGUUUUUUUCUUGGGUUUACGACGGCUGCUGACCGUUAAGCCGUCUUUCGCGCGGAUUUCUCCCAUCAUUCAGUGACUAGGAUUUCAACGUUUCUCGAAGCUCAUUCAUGCAAUGCUUCCAGACUGUCCAUCUGGACAACUUCAAGUACAUCUCCUCUAUCUUCCAUUUGAAGCCUCCUACUCUGGUUUGCCAGCAUCUCACUUACCUCCAAUAGAAGUUUAAGAAGUGCAUGAAAAUUGGUGGGGCUACUCCAAAGGAAAAAAUUGACCAGCAGAUUCUUAACCAAUGCGCUUAUGUGUAAAUUUAACAUGAAGGGAUCGAGAUGGGAGAAAGCAUCUUUUGAGAAGACAGCGCUUUGUAAAUUAAUAAUUGACAGUGUGGUAAAGAGCCAUGGGGUUACAGAAGCCUUUGUUCACAGCUUCAUUGCCAGCAGACUAAGAAAUGCACCAAAGCGUCAAGGAAGACCAGACAUGGUAUAAUUAUUAUUGUAGCGAGUGCUAUGGUUUGAUUUAGACAGUCAUCUAACUGGUCACAAGUGUUUCAUUUAUUUUUUUAGUGCCAAAUAUUGUGGCAUGUGUUAGUAUUAUGCACUACACCCAAUUGUAAUGUGCAUCUCAUUUAGUUUGUUUUGAUGUAUAUCUAAAUAAAUCCAUUAUAAUUGAA